GUUCCCAAUUAAUCAAUGUUUAUAAAGUUUGAAAAUUGAAAAAAAAAAUCUAAAAAUAGAUCUACUAUUGAUUACGUCACAAUUUGUAUUUUCAACAUGGCGGACUGUUGACAUAUUUUGAGAAAAUUUAGAAAACAUUAUGUAAACUCUACUUUGACCGACACUUGUUGUUGUUUUUACUGACAGAUUAUUGUUGCUGUGUUGGUCCCUUACAAGUUUCCACAUUCAGCAAUGGGUGGUGAAACUUCCCCCAGGGACGACAGCAGUGACACCCAACUGCACCAUGCAUUUAAGAAGUUAAAAGUGGAUCCAGAAUGGAAUCCAAGUGUUAUAAAAGGAAAUGUUGAAAAUCUGAGAGAUUUGUGGAUAAGGUAACAAAA